GAUGAACGCUGGCGGCGUGCCUAAUACAUGCAAGUCGAGCGAACAGACGAGGAGCUUGCUCCUCUGACGUUAGCGGCGGACGGGUGAGUAACACGUGGAUAACCUACCUAUAAGACUGGGAUAACUUCGGGAAACCGGAGCUAAUACCGGAUAAUAUAUUGAACCGCAUGGUUCAAUAGUGAAAGACGGUUUUGCUGUCACUUAUAGAUGGAUCCGCGCCGCAUUAGCUAGUUGGUAAGGUAACGGCUUACCAAGGCAACGAUGCGUAGCCGACCUGAGAGGGUGAGCGGCCACACUGGAACUGAGACACGGUCCAGACUCCUACGGGAGGCAGCAGUAGGGAAUCUUCCGCAAUGGGCGAAAGCCUGACGGAGCAACGCCGCGUGAGUGAUGAAGGUCUUCGGAUCGUAAAACGCUGUUAUUAGGGAAGAACAAAUGUGUAAGUAACGAUGCACGUCUUGACGGUACCUAAUCAGAAAGCCACGGCUAACUACGU
rnacentral:rRNA from 1 species